CAGCCGCCGCGGUAAUACGUAGGUGGCAAGCGUUGUCCGGAAUUAUUGGGCGUAAAGCGCGCGCAGGUGGUUUAAUAAGUCUGAUGUGAAAGCCCACGGCUCAACCGUGGAGGGUCAUUGGAAACUGUUAAACUUGAGUGCAGGAGGGAAAAGUGGAAUUCCUAGUGUAGCGGUGAAAUGCGUAGAGAUUAGGAGGAGCACCAGUGGCGAAGGCGGCUUUUUGGCCUGUAACUGACACUGAGGCGCGAAAGCGUGGGGAGCAAACAGGAUUAGAUACCCCCGUAGUCCCUGUCUCUUAUAC
rnacentral:rRNA from 1 species